AAUGAACGUUGGCGGCGUGGAUUAGGCAUGCAAGUCGAGCGAGAAGUUGUGAUCUGAUCCUUCGGGUGAAGUGAUCAAUGGACAGCGGCGAACGGCGUAGUAAUGGAUAGGUUACGUGCCCUCAGGACGGGAAUAGCCACGGGAAACUGUGGGUAAUGCCCGAUAAUGUCUCAGGACCAAAUGGUGUGAUUCCGCCUGAGGAGCGGCUUAUUCGGUAUUAACUUGUUGGUGGGGUAACGGCCUACCAAGGUUUUGAUGCUUAGGGGGUGUGAGAGCAUGGCCCCCACGACCGGGACUGAGACACUGCCCGGACAUCUACGGAUGGCUGCAGUCGAGAAUCUUCCGCAAUGGACGCAAGUCCGACGGAGCGACGCCGCGUGUAGGACGAAGGCCCUUGGGUUGUAAACUACUGUCAGAGGGGAUGAAAUGGUUGGAGGCUAUCCUCCUUCCUUGACAGAGCCUCAGAGGAAGCACGGGCUAAGUACG
rnacentral:rRNA from 1 species